rnacentral:lncRNA from 1 species
UAUUGGACAUAAUAAUACAUAGAGGAUAGGGCACUUACAUUCUUAUUCAGUGACUGUUACACCUUACUCGAGGGGACUAGUUAAACUCACACAUCUUCUUUUAACUAACUGACUCACAGCCAACACACAUCUUUUAACUAACUGACUCACAGCCGACACACAGAUGAACUGACACAUGAACACUCCCAUUGACUCACACAACUGACCAUUAUUAUGUAGCUGAAAAAUUCAAGAACACCAUACAGGACAAGCAACUCAGGAUAAUGACCACAAGGACUAACCGUAGCCCCCUCCUCCAAACACAGAUUUAGAUGGAGAGAGGGAGACCUGGAAGAAAGGCGUAGCC